rfam:Triticum urartu cultivar G1812 contig1177616, whole genome shotgun sequence.
CCACUGGAUGAUGACGAGGUCAUCUCCUACAUCCUGGCAGGACUGGAUAUGGAGUACCAGCCACUGGUGUCGGCUCUCGAUGCUCGCAAGGAACCAGUCACGAUUGAUGAUCUGUUCGCUCAAGUAAGUAACUUUGAUC